rnacentral:rRNA from 1 species
GUGGGGAAUCUUCCGCAAUGGACGAAAGUCUGACGGAGCGACGCCGCGUGAGUGAAGAAGGCCUUCGGGUCGUAAAGCUCUGUCAUCAGGGACGAACGGCCGGUGGAGUGGAAAGCCACCGGAUUGACGGUACCUGAGAAGGAAGCCACGGCUAACUACGUGCCAGCAGCCGCGGUAAUACGUAGGUGGCAAGCGUUGUCCGGAAUUAUUGGGCGUAAAGCGCGCGCAGGUGGGAUCUUAAGUCCAUUUUUAAAGUUCGGAGCUCAACUCCGUGAUGGGAUGGAAACUGGGAUUCUUGAGUACCGGAGAGGAAAGCGGAAUUCCCCGUGUAGCGGUGAAAUGCGUAGAUAUGGGGAGGAACACCAGUGGCGAAGGCGGCUUUCUGGACGGUGUCUGACACUGAGGCGCGAAAGCCUGGGGAGCGAACGGGAUUAGAAACCCGAGUAGUCC